rnacentral:rRNA from 1 species
GACGAACGCUGGCGGCGUGCUUAACACAUGCAAGUCGAACGGUAAGGCCCUCCGGGGUACACGAGUGGCGAACGGGUGAGUAACCCGUUGGUGAUCCGCCCUUCACUUCGGGAUAAGCCUGGGAAACUGGGUCAAUUACCCGAUAGGACCCAUGGCUUCAUGGUUGGGGGUGGAAUGUAUUUGAGGUGUGGGAUGGGCCCGCGGCCUAUCAGCUUGUUGGUGGUGUAAUGGCUUACCAAGGCGCCGACGGGUAGCCGGCCUGGGAGGGGGACCGGUCACACUGGGACGGAGAUACGGCACAGACUCCUACGGGAGGCAGCAGUGGGGAAUAUUGCACAAUGGGCGCAAGCCUGAUGCAGCGACGCCGCGUGAGGGAUGACGGCCUUCGGGUUGUAAACCUCUUUCAGCUAUGACGAAGCGCAAGUGACGGUAGUAGCAGAAGAAGGACCGGCCAACUACGUGCCAGCAGCCGCAGUAA